UCUGAAUAACACUUUUAUAUUAAAAUACGACAGAAACAGAAAUAGAACAUACUGACUCAAAGGAAGAUAACUUAGAUGAAGUGCAAGAACUCCUCAUCCUCCAUAGACAGCAAGGGAUUGAAACAAUAUGAAGGAGAGGAAUUAAUAACAGAAUCUUCAUUUUGGGGUGAACUAACCCUUUAAUAUUGUUUGCUAUUGCACUUAACUAAAUGUGUAUGCAGACAUGGAAGAGUUAUGUGGAAGCUUGUUAUACCCAAUGAGAACUGCUUUUAGACAUGCAAGAGAGUUUCAUGGAUUUUGUGUUUACUGUUUUUUUUUGUGUUUAAAGGUUUUGUGGAAAUUGUUUAUAAUAAAUAUAACAUUUAUUAAAUCUAUUCUGGACCAUUUCCUGAUUGGAUCUUGAGGUUCCUUCUGUAUUCAAAUUACAUUUUUUAUAAACUGACCUGCUCUUCAAAUGAAAAUUCUAAAGCAGUUUACUGUCAAAUUACUUGAUUGAGGUUUAAAAUUUAAUAUUAGUAAGGGUGCUGAUCUGAUCCCCACGUUGCCUAAAAAACGGUAAUGUGUGUGUAGACCUGGUCCUUACUUUGACUCAAUACCGGUAAUGUGUGUG